UACGUAGGUGGCAAGCGUUGUCCGGAUUUACUGGGCGUAAAGGGCGUGUAGCCGGGUUGGUGAGUCAGAUGUGAAAUGCACGGGCUUAGCUCGUGAACUGCAUUUGAAACUGCUGAUCUUGAGUAUCGGAGAGGCAAUCGGAAUUCCUAGUGUAGCGGUGAAAUGCGUAGAUAUUAGGAGGAACACCAGUGGCGAAGGCGGAUUGCUGGACGACAACUGACGGUGAGGCGCGAAAGCGUGGGGAGCAAAC
rnacentral:rRNA from 1 species